UACGAAGGGGGCUAGCGUUGCUCGGAAUCACUGGGCGUAAAGGGUGCGUAGGCGGGUUUUUAAGUCAGGGGUGAAAUCCUGGAGCUCAACUCCAGAACUGCCUUUGAUACUGAAGAUCUUGAGUUCGGGAGAGGUGAGUGGAACUGCGAGUGUAGAGGUGAAAUUCGUAGAUAUUCGCAAGAACACCAGUGGCGAAGGCGGCUCACUGGCCCGGAACUGACGCUGAGACGCGAAAGCGUGGGGAGCGAACAGG
rnacentral:rRNA from 1 species